UCGGGGCUGGACAAGCAGAGA
rnacentral:miRNA from 1 species